rnacentral:SRP_RNA from 1 species
GCUGGGCGUGGAGGCUCACGCCUGUAAUCCCAGCACUUUGGGAGGCGGAGGUGGGCGGAUCACAAGGUCAGGAGAUCGAGACCACGGUGAAACCCCAUCUCUACUAAAAAUACAAAAAAAAAAAAAAAUUGGCCGGGCGUGGUGGCAGGCGCCUGUAGUCCCAACUACUGNNNNNNNNNNCAGUAGUUGGGACUACAGGCGCCUGCCACCACGCCCGGCCAAUUUUUUUUUUUUUUUGUAUUUUUAGUAGAGAUGGGGUUUCACCGUGGUCUCGAUCUCCUGACCUUGUGAUCCGCCCGCCUCAA